UUUUAAAGGCCUGAUCCAAAGCCCACUGAAGUCAAUGGGAGUCUCACCACUGACUUCAAAAGGGCUUUGGUUCAGGCCUUUGAUCAA
rnacentral:pre_miRNA from 1 species